GUCCCUUGUUCCCUAAGGUAGCUGAAAGCCCCUCAUCAGACUCUAAUGAGAACCGGGUCAGAGCCCACGUGAAAGUCAGAAUUGAAAUGAAGUUAUAUAAAUACAGGGCUUCACACUUGGAGGUAUAGGACUGAAGAGUCCCUAAGUACUAGCCAUUUUCAGUGGUAGCUUGGGCCAUCACCUGGUAUCUGGCAGGGACACAGGGACCAUUUGACAGCUUGGAAACAUUUGAUAACAACAAUUUUGAGAACAGAUUGAAUUACACUGUUGAAAGAACAGUGAAAAUAGUGAAACCGGAAUUGAGAAUAUUUUAAAAAUGAACUAAUGUUUCACAGAAUGAAAAUAUAUGGCACUUCAAUCAGACUGAGAAGACUUUCCUAACAGCAUGGCUGAGAAGAGUCUUCCACUAGUAUGAUGACAGAAAUUUACCCCAGCAAACCCUAUAAGCAAGUAAUUAUAGCUUUCACUUGAGAAAUAUGUAUUGUCUGUACUGUGAGCUGAAAAGUGCUUGGGCAGAGACUGGCAGCAAAAAAAUACCAAUGAGCUGACUGUUGUCCUAUUGUACAGAGGGAAAUGUCUACUACUUCCACACCUGUAAAACUCCAUGUGAAUGAGCUGUCAUAUGUCUAAGUGUAUAAGAAGAUUUUGGGCAGUGAUUUCUGGUAUACCAACCCCCAGAAACAGGUGGGUUAUCCCUCAGUUAUGAUGUCCUGCAUUACAGGUUCUCUAUUCACUAUCUCAUAUAACCAACUUCUGAUGAAGGGGAAGGUGAAGAAAAAUUUCCAUGAAUAACUUUCCUCCUCAGAAGCCAAAUUCUAUUAAGGAGAUAAAUAGUUUCCUGUCCCCACAGGUAAAGCAGAGAAAAACCAUUACAAAUCUACUCAGGCCCAGAGACUGAUCCUGUUGCUAAAGCAUAUUCUACAUUCUUCCCAAACAUGUUCAGCUGCAAUUUGGCCAAGUGCUAACUUAGUCUUCCCUUCCCUUAGUGUCUAUAAGUAGCUAGUUUUAGCAGUUCCUCAAGACAUGCUGGCACUUGGGAUCUUUUUCUUAGGCAUCUAUUUCUUCAUCUUUAACCAGAUCAGAAACUCAGAGAGCUGGAUUUCGCAAGCCUGCUAGGUAGCUAGGUGUUGAGCAUCCCUGUUGUCAUAAUACAUAGACUGCUUAUCAUUCCAGCCCAAUGUGCCUCACAGAGCAAUUCACAAGGUAGUGGAGCUUGGAAUAGCUUCCCUCAGAGCCACGUGCAGUAGACAUUACUAACUUCUAAAGCAGGAGGCUAGGAGAAAUGUAAUAGCCUUUUAAUGGAAUAGUCUUUUUUUAUGCACAGACUACUUUCUUGGGGUAUGUUCCUGUCAUGUAAUUUUAUUUGACAAUAACUCUUACACUGACAAAGGGAGCUUUCAAGAAAAAGAAAGAACAAACAACUCUUAAAAUUGAAUACAUGAAGAUAUAAAUGACACAGGGAAAUUAAAACUCAAGGUGAGCUUCAAGGUACUGAAGGGUGGAGGUGGAGGAGAGGGAAGCAGUGAGCAAUGGCAGUGAUUGAAGAAGGGAAACCAAAAGGAAUCACAGGUCACAGACUUCCACACAAGCUUCUCCAUAAGGCUCCAUAAAGCAGGUGUUGGCCUGCCCCCUCCCCAGCACCCCUCCUCAGCAAUAAGUGUUUUUCUAUGGCUUGCCCUUUAAAUGUUCAGAAGAGAAAAAUCUGACAUCUUGACACAAUUUCUAUAUAUGCAGAUGAUGCAAGUGCAUGAAAUGUAGGUUUUACUAAUAUCUUAAAUGUAACGUGAGGCAAACAUUAAGCCAUGGUGUUUAAAGGUCUGACUUACUUUUAAUGUAAACAGAGGAUUUAUGCAUACCUGUGAUUACAUACCAGUUUUGUUUUGUUCCUAUGGUCACGAAGGUGUCAGUCCAACACCAUCCUCACUUGGAUAUAACUUCCACAAGGGAUUUAUUCACAAUAAUUCAGAGAUAAUUUCACAGUUCUGUUACCCAAAGUGUGCACUUCAGAAUAAUAAAAAGAGCAAUAAAUGUAUUCAAGAGAAAGUUUAUUUUAAUUCUUAAAAGUUUGAUGGCUUCUGAAAGCACCUUUUUGAUACUUUUAUUGCUGAAUAACCACACUCAAAAGUUGCUUUUCAUCAUGGACUGGUGUUGUCAAAGCACCAUUAUACCAUAAACCCUAAAACCUUUUUUACCAUUAGGAGUAUGCCUUUCUUAGAAAAGUAUAUGGAAGAAACCCCAAAAACUAGCUUUGCAGUGAACUCCAGAGAUCUAUAAAGACCAUAAUAAUAUGCUAUGGUAAUGCAUAAUGAAGCAAAAAUGCAGACCAGGAAGAGGAUUCAUGAAUCCUUAACCCUAGUGUUAGUUUUCAGAGAAUUAUGGCUCAAAUACCUUCAAAGAACAAAUCUAAUGUAAUGUAACAUACAGAGAGAGGCACUUAGAUGCCCAAAACAAGACAUUUAGGCCUUUAUAGGUCAACUCUGUCUUAAAUUCCACCCGAGAAUUAAGCAUCAACUGGUAAAGAUUUCUACACUAUAAUCCCUGUUUGCAUCUUUUCAGAAAUUGCAGCAAUUUUGUCACGUUGAGUAUUAUUAAGGUGCAACCUUAUAAAAAAAAUGCAAUCAAAAUGGAGUUAUUGAUCACAGUUUUCUCCAAAACAAGCUUUACUCAUGGUCCCAACUGAGGAAGAUUAAUUUCAACAUGAGUGCCUCUUCUGCCUCUCUGAUGUCACAGUCUGACAAUCAAUAUUUUACUCUUCUGAUGGGCUGCAAACAUUUCAUUUUUAAAGCUCAUAUGAAGCGUAUUUUUGAUGUGCAAAUAUUGAUAGUAUUUUGGGGGAAUAUUUGGACUUUUUAAAAUUCUUUCAAAGCCAAUCUUGUGUGUAUACAUGUAUGUGUGUGCACAUUAAUAUAUUUUCAGUUUAAAAGGACCGGAGUAGAAUAAGAUGUACUAUAAUUUGUGAAGAGAAUCCACCUUUUGCUACAAACUAAGAUAACAUAAUGCAUCCUGUAUUGUGUAUGCUGUAUUGUGUAUUCUGUACAUUUAUUAUUUAUGACUAUUUCAGAAACAUAUGUUUUUUCCGUACCCUUUCCUUAAAAAUGGAAGUUAUUUUGUUUUGUUAUGUUUUGUUUUGUUUUUUAACUAAAGAUGACAU